rnacentral:rRNA from 1 species
UACGUAGGGUGCGAGCGUUGUCCGGAAUUAUUGGGCGUAAAGAGCUCGUAGGCGGUUCGUCGCGUCGGCUGUGAAAACCCGGAGCUCAACUCCGGGCCUGCAGUCGAUACGGGCGGACUGGAGUUCGGCAGGGGGAGACUGGAAUUCCUGGUGUAGCGGUGGAAUGCGCAGAGUAUCAGGAGGAACACCGGUGGCGAAGGCGGGUCUCUGGGCCGAUACUGACGCUGAGGAGCGAAAGCGUGGGGAGCGAACAGG